rnacentral:rRNA from 1 species
UACGUAGGGGGCAAGCGUUGUCCGGAAUCAUUGGGCGUAAAGAGCGUGUAGGCGGCUCGGUAAGUCCGCUGUGAAAGUCCAGGGCUCAACCCUGGGAUGCCGGUGGAUACUGUCGGGCUCGAGUCCGGAAGAGGAGUGUGGAAUUCCUGGUGUAGCGGUGAAAUGCGCAGAUAUCAGGAGGAACACCAAUGGCGAAGGCAGCACUCUGGGACGUGACUGACGCUGAGGAGCGAAAGCCAGGGGAGCAAACGGG